rnacentral:lncRNA from 1 species
AGCGACUUCACCACCUCCCUGAAUUUGGGGUUUGGAAUGAAAGAGGAAUUGGUGCAGUAUGAGAAGAAACACCUACAAUAAGGCUCUGAUCAUUAAUCCCAGUCAAGCAAGAAGUCAUCAUGCUUCAUAGGAUCAAAGCUGAACUCAGAUCCAGGAAAGAUAUGCCCUCCUCCUGCUUCUGUUGCCCUAAACAGGAGUCAUAGGUACUACUGCUGAGCUGGAGAACACAGGUCCACAGAGCAAGAUCAGGAUAUUACUCUGUUAGGAAGACCUGGAUGGCCCCUCACUACAAGAAGACACUGAGGCCCUGGAGCGUGUCCAGAGAAGGGCAAUGAAGCUGGUGAGGUGUCUGGAGCACAAGCCUUAUGAAAAGCAGCUGAG